GGUUAAGCGACUAAGCGUACACGGUGGAUGCCCCGGCAGUCAGAGGCGAUGAAGGGCGUGCUAAUCUGCGAUAAGCGCCGGUAAGGUGAUAUGAACCGUUAUAACCGGCGAUACCCGAAUGGGGAAACCCAGUGUGAUUCGUCACACUAUCAUUAACUGAAUCCAUAGGUUAAUGAGGCGAACCGGGGGAACUGAAACAUCUAAGUACCCCGAGGAAAAGAAAUCAACCGAGAUUCCCCCAGUAGCGGCGAGCGAACGGGGAGGAGCCCAGAGCCUGAAUCAGCAUGUGUGUUAGUGGAAGCGUCUGGAAAGGCGCGCGAUACAGGGUGACAGCCCCGUACACAAAAGCGCAUGUGCUGUGAGCUCGAUGAGUAGGGCGGGACACGUGGUAUCCUGUCUGAAUAUGGGGGGACCAUCCUCCAAGGCUAAAUACUCCUGACUGACCGAUAGUGAACCAGUACCGUGAGGGAAAGGCGAAAAGAACCCCGGCGAGGGGAGUGAAAAAGAACCUGAAACCGUGUACGUACAAGCAGUGGGAGCACCCUUCGGGGUGUGACUGCGUACCUUUUGUAUAAUGGGUCAGCGACUUAUAUUCUGUAGCAAGGUUAACCGUAUAGGGGAGCCGGAGGGAAACCGAGUCUUAACCGGGCGUUAAGUUGCAGGGUAUAGACCCGAAACCCGGUGAUCUAGCCAUGGGCAGGUUGAAGGUUGGGUAACACUAACUGGAGGACCGAACCGACUAAUGUUGAAAAAUUAGCGGAUGACCUGUGGCUGGGGGUGAAAGGCCAAUCAAACCGGGAGAUAGCUGGUUCUCCCCGAAAGCUAUUUAGGUAGCGCCUCGUGAAUUCAUCUCCGGGGGUAGAGCACUGUUUCGGCUAGGGGGCCAUCCCGGCUUACCAACCCGAUGCAAACUGCGAAUACCGGAGAAUGUUAUCACGGGAGACACACGGCGGGUGCUAACGUCCGUCGUGAAGAGGGAAACAACCCAGACCGCCAGCUAAGGUCCCAAAGUCAUGGUUAAGUGGGAAACGAUGUGGGAAGGCCCAGACAGCCGGGAUGUUGGCUUAGAAGCAGCCAUCAUUUAAAGAAAGCGUAAUAGCUCACUGGUCGAGUCGGCCUGCGCGGAAGAUGUAACGGGGCUAAACCAUGCACCGAAGCUGCGGCAGCGAACGUAUCACCCAAGACAACUUUACGGAGUUGACGAUUGACGGAGCGAAGCGACGUCAAAGCGUUCAUUAAAGUCGAGUUGGCUUAGGGAUACGUUCGUUGGGUAGGGGAGCGUUCUGUAAGCCUGUGAAGGUGUGUCGUGAGGCAUGCUGGAGGUAUCAGAAGUGCGAAUGCUGACAUAAGUAACGAUAAAGCGGGUGAAAAGCCCGCUCGCCGGAAGACCAAGGGUUCCUGUCCAACGUUAAUCGGGGCAGGGUGAGUCGACCCCUAAGGCGAGGCCGAAAGGCGUAGUCGAUGGGAAACGGGUUAAUAUUCCCGUACUUGGUGUUACUGCGAAGGGGGGACGGAGAAGGCUAUGUUGGCCGGGCGACGGUUGUCCCGGUUUAAGCGUGUAGGUGUGUGUUCGGGUAAAUCCGGUUCACUUUAACACUGAGGCGUGACGACGAGGCACUACGGUGCUGAAGCAACAAAUGCCCUGCUUCCGGGAAAAGCCUCUAAGCAUCAGGUAACAUCAAAUCGUACCCCAAACCGACACAGGUGGUCAGGUAGAGAAUACCAAGGCGCUUGAGAGAACUCGGGUGAAGGAACUAGGCAAAAUGGUGCCGUAACUUCGGGAGAAGGCACGCUGACACGUAGGUGAAGUGAUUUACUCAUGGAGCUGAAGUCAGUCGAAGAUACCAGCUGGCUGCAACUGUUUAUUAAAAACACAGCACUGUGCAAACACGAAAGUGGACGUAUACGGUGUGACGCCUGCCCGGUGCCGGAAGGUUAAUUGAUGGGGUCAGCGCAAGCGAAGCUCCUGAUCGAAGCCCCGGUAAACGGCGGCCGUAACUAUAACGGUCCUAAGGUAGCGAAAUUCCUUGUCGGGUAAGUUCCGACCUGCACGAAUGGCGUAAUGAUGGCCGGGCUGUCUCCACCCGAGACUCAGUGAAAUUGAACUCGCUGUGAAGAUGCAGUGUACCCGCGGCAAGACGGAAAGACCCCGUGAACCUUUACUAUAGCUUGACACUGAACAUUGAGCCUUGAUGUGUAGGAUAGGUGGGAGGCUUUGAAGUGUGGACGCCAGUCUGCAUGGAGCCGACCUUGAAAUACCACCCUUUAAUGUUUGAUGUUCUAACGUGGACCCGUAAUCCGGGUUGCGGACAGUGUCUGGUGGGUAGUUUGACUGGGGCGGUCUCCUCCUAAAGAGUAACGGAGGAGCACGAAGGUUGGCUAAUCCUGGUCGGACAUCAGGAGGUUAGUGCAAUGGCAUAAGCCAGCUUGACUGCGAGCGUGACGGCGCGAGCAGGUGCGAAAGCAGGUCAUAGUGAUCCGGUGGUUCUGAAUGGAAGGGCCAUCGCUCAACGGAUAAAAGGUACUCCGGGGAUAACAGGCUGAUACCGCCCAAGAGUUCAUAUCGACGGCGGUGUUUGGCACCUCGAUGUCGGCUCAUCACAUCCUGGGGCUGAAGUAGGUCCCAAGGGUAUGGCUGUUCGCCAUUUAAAGUGGUACGCGAGCUGGGUUUAGAACGUCGUGAGACAGUUCGGUCCCUAUCUGCCGUGGGCGCUGGAGAACUGAGGGGGCUGCUCCUAGUACGAGAGGACCGGAGUGGACGCAUCACUGGUGUUCGGGUUGUCAUGCCAAUGGCACUGCCCGGUAGCUAAAUGCGGAAGAGAUAAGUGCUGAAAGCAUCUAAGCACGAAACUUGCCCCGAGAUGAGUUCUCCCUGAGACUUAGAGUCUCCUGAAGGAACGUUGAAGACGACGACGUUGAUAGGCCGGGUGUGUAAGCGCAGCGAUGCGUUGAGCUAACCGGUACUAAUGAACCGUGAGGCUUAACCUU
rnacentral:rRNA from 1 species